GAUGAAGAACGCAGCGAAUUGCGAUAAGUAAUGUGAAUUGCAGAUUUUCAGUGAAUCAUCGAAUCUUUGAACGCACAUUGCGCCCGCCAGUAUUCUGGCGGGCAUGCCUGUUCGAGCGUCAUUUCAACCCUCAAGCCCAGCUUGGUGUUGGGGAUCGGCACAGGCGCCCUCGGGCGCCAGCCGUCCCCUAAAUCUAGUGGCGGUCCCGCUGCAGCCUCCUCUGCGUAGUAGUUUUCUCCUCGCAAGGGCAGCUCGGUGGCGACCUCGCCGUAAAACCCCCAACUUCUGAAAGGUUGACCUCGAAUCAGGUAGGAAUACCCGCUGAACUUAAGCAUAUCAAUAAGCGGAGGA
rnacentral:misc_RNA from 1 species